rnacentral:rRNA from 1 species
CGCGGCCUAUCAGCUUGUUGGUGGGGUAAUGGCCUACCAAGGCGACGACGGGUAGCCGGCCUGAGAGGGUGACCGGCCACACUGGGACUGAGACACGGCCCAGACUCCUACGGGAGGCAGCAGUGGGGAAUAUUGCACAAUGGGCGCAAGCCUGAUGCAGCGACGCCGCGUGAGGGAUGACGGCCUUCGGGUUGUAAACCUCUUUCAGCAGGGAAGAAGCCACAAGUGACGGUACCUGCAGAAGAAGCGCCGGCUAACUACGUGCCAGCAGCCGCGGUAAUACGUAGGGCGCAAGCGUUGUCCGGAAUUAUUGGGCGUAAAGAGCUCGUAGGCGGUUUGUCGCGUCUGCUGUGAAAGCCCGGGGCUCAACCCCGGGUCUGCAGUGGGUACGGGCAGACUAGAGUGCAGUAGGGGAGACUGGAAUUCCUGGUGUAGCGGUGAAAUGCGCAGAUAUCAGGAGGAACACCGAUUGCGAAGGCAGGUCUCUGGGCUGUUACUGACGCUGAGGAGCGAAAGCAUGGGGAGCGAACAGGAUUAGAUACCCUGGUAGUCCAUGCCGUAAACGUUGGGCACUAGGUGUGGGGGACAUUCCACGUUCUCCGCGCCGUAGCUAACGCAUUAAGUGCCCCGCCUGGGGAGUACGG